rnacentral:rRNA from 1 species
UGGUCUUGACAUAGAAAGAACUUUCCAGAGAUGGAUUGGUGCCUGCUUGCAGGAGCUUUCAUACAGGUGCUGCACGGCUGUCGUCAGCUCGUGUCGUGAGAUGUUGGGUUAAGUCCCGCAACGAGCGCAACCCUCGUCGUUAGUUGCUAACAGUUCGGCUGAGAACUCUAACGAGACUGCCUACGCAAGUAGGAGGAAGGUGAGGACGACGUCAAGUCAUCAUGGCCCUUACGACCAGGGCUACACACGUGCUACAAUGGGGUAUACAAAGAGCCGCGAUACCGUGAGGUGGAGCAAAUCUCAUAAAAUAUCUCCCAGUUCGGAUUGUAGUCUGCAACUCGACUACAUGAAGUUGGAAUCGCUAGUAAUCGUAGAUCAGCUAUGCUACGGUGAAUACGUUCCCGGGUCU